AACGCUGCUGAGCCCCGCCUCAGGCGGUGGUACUGGCCGCCCCGAGUCCCCGAAACAGCGACCAGCAGGGGGCCAAGGCCGACAGCCCUGACCCCCGCCUCCUCCGGGGUGUGCCCCACUGCUCCAGACAAGACAGACCCCAGCGUGCGGGCAUGGGAGGCGGAGCUGCCAGGCCACGGCCGGGUUUCCUGCUCUCGGAGUCGAGCAGAGGCAAGUGAAACAAAGGUCAGUGAACACCGAGGUCCAGAGCAGCCGCCGCCUCUGGCACCUCCCGAGUCCCAAGGGCCCGAUACGAGAGUCCUUGCGGCUUCGUCCCGCACAGCGCCCUGCAUCUGAGACAAUCGUGUUCCGAUCUCCUCUCCGGUGGCUGUCGUCGGCUGGGGAGGGCCUGGGGGAAGAGGGUCACAGCCCCUCAAAGCAAGGCCUCCAGCCAGGGCCAGAUGCAGCCCAGCCAGUGGGGAGAAAGCAGCUCCCAGGCCACCGGGCCCUGGAACCCUGGACAUGUCACCAGCACUGCUGUGUAGGCACAGCCUGGAGCAUCCACUGAGAAUGGACAAGUCAUCGUCUGUGGCUUUGCUCUUAACAGCACGUCUGACCCUGCUGGAGCCUGGCUGAGCCCCACGGAGUCACAGCCCUCAACAACCUGCAGCCCCGGCACCGUGCUGUGGACCAGAGCCGACCCGGCAGCCACACCCCGGAAGCCGCUUCUCCAGACGGGAGCGCGGUUGGGCCUCCAUACAAAGGCUGCGCUUCUGCCAUGGCGGGCACAGGACAAUGCGGUUUGUCACUCCACCCCAGGGCUCCCACAGUGACCCUGACUGCUGCGGCCACCCUGGGACCCCAGCAUAGCCAUCCGCGCCGAUGACUGAGACCGCGGUGACUGGCUGUGCAGUGACGACACAGUGCAGGGAAAUGCACUCAGGACAGGCCAGGCGGGCGGGGGAGGUGGAGGCGGUCUGGCCCAUGGCAGCCAGGGCAUGUGGCUGCGCGCUGCGGUCCACUCACACACAGUGCGGGACACAGAGGCCCCUGGAAAGAGCACACUGAGUGGGAGAGCAAAUUCUGGAACUGUCGCAGGCGGAAACCACACAAGGGGGAAACAGACAAAACAGCAAACCCGGAAGAACCAUUCCCGCUUCCGAAGCUCCAUGAUCACGGCAGACGCUUCUUAAAACCUCCCGUUUAAUAUCAGAUGCCACACAUACGAGAUCGAUGUGCACGUCGGGAGAAACCACAGCACAGCCAGGAGUACUGGCGCACAGUGAAUACGCUUCCGUCCUUUCAAAAGCCUUUCCCGAACGGUAUCUUGUAAAAAAUGCCAAAAAUAAAAUGAAAAAAACUGCCA
rnacentral:lncRNA from 1 species